AUAUUAACACUGAAAUUUUGAGAAUCACUAGUUUCCAACUUGGCUUGAAGUUUAUAUUACUGAUGAAAAUACUGAAUUUUUGCAUCAUCAACUAUGCAAUAAACAGAAUAAGCAUUAAAGUGCCUGCCAAAAUAUACUUUGAGUAAAAACAGAAUUUCAUCAGUUAACUUGACAAUCAGAUCAUAAAUGUGCUUUAAUGCUUUAAUGCCACCAGUUUGUGGUCUAAAAUAGGCAACAGAAUUGUACAAUGAAGAAGUAUGCUUACCUAACACAUAAGGAAUAGAAUUUGUUACAUCAAUACCAAAGGUAAAAAUAAAAAUUAAAAACAGUUAAAUUUUAAGUGGUUUCAUAUUAGAAGGGCCUAAAUAUUUGACCAUUAUAACCAAUUGCUAAAAGAAUCAGUUUAGGCCAGGAUGUGCAUUUUGCCUGAUCCCAAUUCCAGGGGCCAUCCUUCACAUCGCAGUUAAAUUUGCAACCCCUGGAGCUGUAUAGUACAGCUCAUACAACUGUACACAGCAGCCCUGAUCACUAUUAUCUGUCGUUCAUUGAACAUGUACUAUAUUGCAGACACUGUGCCAAGCACUUUCCACAGAUAAUCCCAGGAAUUUUCAUAACAACCUUUUCAAGUUUUGCUGUGUGUCUUUUACAUGGAAGGAACUGAGGUCCAGAAACUACCUUGAGGAAGUUUAUCAGGGGAAAAGUAGAGUCUACUUUGAGUACCUUUUUCAAUUCUUGUGGGUAUAUACCUAACAAUAGAAUUGCUGGAUCUGUUAUUAUACUCAUUGUACGGAUAAGAAAACUGAGGCUUAGCAAUAAUAAGUAAUUUGUCCUAAGGUGAAAGGGCGGGAAAGGGGUGGAUUACAGUUUGAUUCCCUUUGAAAAGAGAGUUUCGCUGCUUUAAUAGGUCUUUGCAGACCAUAAAAAAGGUAGUGGAAGAGAUAAUAUCUUAAAUAACUUUAACAGUGGGAAAAUAUCUACUCAAAGACCGUACCAGUCACAUGAAUCAUGGCCUAUAUUCUAAUGCAAUGGUUUUCAGUUACAUUUUACUUGAGUUUUUGGAGGGGGAGGAGCAGAGUUGGUACUGUUCUUGGGGACACACACGAGAACUGCCUGGAAGAGUUCUUUCAAGUUCUAUGGCAUGCAUCACCCAUCUUCCCCAUAGAUGUGAUUUUUUUUUCACACUGCCCUAGUGGUGGGACCCCUACCCAUACUGAGCAACUACUCCUCACAGGAGUGGGAUAUAUCCAGUGGCAUCCAAAACCAACCAUAUUCAUGCUUAGGAUUUUCAUUCACCCUGAACUGCAGUCCAGUUCAUUCACUCUAAGCUUUAGACAUCUGUACUCUCUGAAUCUCUCUACCAGGAGGUCCCACAGCACCUCAAACACAACAAGACCAAAAUUCAACUUAUCUUUAUCCAUAAAAUGGCUGAUUUCUCCUCCUAUAAUCUUUUAUGUCGGUAUCACUAUGACUCCAAAUUAGCACGUAGUGGAUGUUCACUAAAUAACUGUCACAUGAACAAAUGAAUCAACUUCUGGACCCAAGAGAGAAGAGACUAAGAUAGGAAGGAGGAGGGCUGGUGAGCAUAUGUCUUACAGGACUGCAUUUUCAGUGCUCCCAAAUCUAGUCUACUGGGCAUUGGCCCUCAACCUCAGCAGCACAUUCGAAUCAUCUAGGGACCUUGCAAUAAAUAUUGAUGCCUGGAUCCCACUCCCAGAAAUUCCCGUGUAAUUUGUUGGGGUGUGGCCAAGGCAUCAUGAGUUUUCAGAGCUCUCCAGGUGAUUAUCAUGUGCAUCCCAAUUGAGACCCACUUAUUAGCUGUUACUAAACCUGAAGUGAUCUUUUCCUGGGCCUCUUGCAUCUUCUUUCUUAAUUGAAUUCAGUGACACUCUAAAUCUAGAGCUACCAAACAUUGCUAGUCACUAAAGACAGCCCUAAAAUGCUUGGACUAAAGAAAGAUCCGGAUUGUUGAUAUUACCUUAAGUAUCAAAAUCCCCAUUGACUGAUGGGAGCACUUUGAUUUAUAAGAAAAGGCACAUGGGGCUUAGGAGACAAACUAGCAUGGUAUAUGAACUCUCCCUUACCGCCUCCCUCACACUUUCCAAAUUUUCACAGAAGCCUCCCUCACUACAUUCAGUCUUAGAAUAGGAACAUAGUUUAUUUUUGUAAAAUCAAACAAAUU
rnacentral:lncRNA from 1 species